rnacentral:rRNA from 1 species
GGAGAUAGCUGGUUCUCCCCGAAAGCUAUUUAGGUAGCGCCUCGUGAAUUCAUCUCCGGGGGUAGAGCACUGUUUCGGCUAGGGGGCCAUCCCGGCUUACCAACCCGAUGCAAACUGCGAAUACCGGAGAAUGUUAUCACGGGAGACACACGGCGGGUGCUAACGUCCGUCGUGAAGAGGGAAACAACCCAGACCGCCAGCUAAGGUCCCAAAGUCAUGGUUAAGUGGGAAACGAUGUGGGAAGGCCCAGACAGCCAGGAUGUUGGCUUAGAAGCAGCCAUCAUUUAAAGAAAGCGUAAUAGCUCACUGGUCGAGUCGGCCUGCGCGGAAGAUGUAACGGGGCUAAACCAUGCACCGAAGCUGCGGCAGCGAACGUAUCACCCAAGACAACUUUACGGAGUUGACGAUUGACGGAGCGAAGCGACGUCAAAGCGUUCAUUAAAGUCGAGUUGGCUUAGGGAUACGUUCGUUGGGUAGGGGAGCGUUCUGUAAGCCUGUGAAGGUGUGUCGUGAGGCAUGCUGGAGGUAUCAGAAGUGCGAAUGCUGACAUAAGUAACGAUAAAGCGGGUGAAAAGCCCGCUCGCCGGAAGACCAAGGGUUCCUGUCCAACGUUAAUCGGGGCAGGGUGAGUCGACCCCUAAGGCGAGGCCGAAAGGCGUAGUCGAUGGGAAACGGGUUAAUAUUCCCGUACUUGGUGUUACUGCGAAGGGGGGACGGAGAAGGCUAUGUUGGCCGGGCGACGGUUGUCCCGGUUUAAGCGUGUAGGUGUGUGUUCCAGGUAAAUCCGGUUCACUUUAACACUGAGGCGUGACGACGAGGCACUACGGUGCUGAAGCAACAAAUGCCCUGCUUCCAGGAAAAGCCUCUAAGCAUCAGGUAACACGAAAUCGUACCCCAAACCGACACAGGUGGUCAGGUAGAGAAUACCAAGGCGCUUGAGAGAACUCGGGUGAAGGAACUAGGCAAAAUGGUGCCGUAACUUCGGGAGAAGGCACGCUGACACGUAGGUGAAGUGAUUUACUCAUGGAGCUGAAGUCAGUCGAAGAUACCAGCUGGCUGCAACUGUUUAUUAAAAACACAGCACUGUGCAAACACGAAAGUGGACGUAUACGGUGUGACGCCUGCCCGGUGCCGGAAGGUUAAUUGAUGGGGUCAGCGUAAGCGAAGCUCCUGAUCGAAGCCCCGGUAAACGGCGGCCGUAACUAUAACGGUCCUAAGGUAGCGAAAUUCCUUGUCGGGUAAGUUCCGACCUGCACGAAUGGCGUAAUGAUGGCCAGGCUGUCUCCACCCGAGACUCAGUGAAAUUGAACUCGCUGUGAAGAUGCAGUGUACCCGCGGCAAGACGGAAAGACCCCGUGAACCUUUACUAUAGCUUGACACUGAACAUUGAGCCUUGAUGUGUAGGAUAGG